UUGCGAUGGAUCCGACAAAGAAGCAAGAGAUCAUGGAUGAUCUUAAGGAUUUUGUGUUAGGUCAAAUGUUUUAUCAGAAAACGGGUAGGGCUUGGAAGAGAGGUUACUUGCUGUAUGGGCCACCUGGUACUGGUAAGUCUAGUAUGAUCGCAGCCAUGGCGAAUUAUCUAGGCUAUGAUAUUUAUGAUCUUGAACUCACUGAGGUGCAUAGCAACUCGGAGUUGAGGAAGCUGCUGAUGAAAACGAGUUCUAAGUCGAUAAUUGUGAUCGAAGACAUCGACUGUUCGAUCAAUUUGACGAACCGGAACAAGAGCAGUGGACUCAAAGCCGGUUUUGAACAUAGGCAAGUGAAAUAUUAGUUUUAAUAAUUUUUUAAAAAUUUAUUUUUACUAAAUCGUUUAAGACCUCCAAAAUCUUAGGAUCGGCUCUGAAACACGAAGUGGGUCGGGUUCGGGUGAAGAGUCUGGUAAUGGGAACACGAUAACGUUGUCGGGUUUGUUGAACUUUACGGAUGGGCUUUGGUCUUGUUGUGGAAGCGAGAGGAUCUUUGUCUUUACGACCAAUCAUAUAGAGAAGCUUGAUCCUGCUUUGCUUAGGAGUGGGAGGAUGGACAUGCAUGUGUGCAUGCACAGCCGGUCCUAGUUAUUAUAAGGCUAGAAGCCAAUUUAAAAAAUGUGGCUGAAGUCCCUCGAACCCGCAACCUGUAACAGGUUACAACAACCACCCAACCGCUGGGCUACUAAGAACUUUCUGUUUAAAUGUGGCCGUUUAGGAUGAUAAUAUUUGGUGGCUGGAAGCACAAGCUUCAUUGGCUUCCCUCCAAGACCGGCUCUGUGUGCAUGAGUUACUGUGACUUCCCGUCGUUGAAGAUUUUGUUGAGGAACUAUUUGGGGUAUGAGGAGGAAGAUGUGGACGGCGACGUUUUGAAGGAGAUGGAGAGAGUGGUGGAGAAGGCGGAGAUGACGCCUGCGGAUGUAAGUGAGGCUUUGAUCAGGAAUAGGAGGGAUAAGGAGAAGGCGGUUAGGGAGUUGUUGGUGGAGUUGAAGAGUAGAUGGGAGAGGAAUGUGAAAGGUGGGAAGUUGAGGGGUCAAAGUGGAAAUUUGAGGGAGUUGGAAAUUGUGGAGGAGGAAGAGAAGAGGGCUAUAGAUAGUCAAAAUGAAGAUGGUGAUGAUGUUGAAGAUGAAACUGAGCUCGUGGACAAUGUUGGUAAAGACUAGAGAGGAUUCAAAAUAAACAAUGUACAAGAAAAUGGUGAAAACUUGUUAUCUUUCUUCUUUUCUUUAUUUGAUGGGUUUUCUCUUUUUGAAUAUGUGAUAUGCAUCAGUUUUCAGUUUUUUACCACCUCAGCCUUGAAUAUACUUACGUUUUACAUAAUUGAAAGCUACUUCCAUAUUUUAUAAAUUUCUUUCCUAUGAGACUAAUCUUAAAAGCAGACAACUUUUUAACGGUUUAACAAUAUCUAAACUUUCAUAGUAAACACUGAUUCAUUUUUUAAAAACAUAAGAAAAUUUUGAUCAAUAAUAAAGAGAAAAAAUAGUCCCAAACAAAUCUUGACCAUCAUAAAUCACUCAAAUCAGCAAGUCUUAAACUCAAAGAAAGUUACAAAACCCAAAUUUGUUUUUCUUCUUUUCAUUUUACACUUGUUCCUUAACUAACCUCUUUGCCUUUGUCACUAUCAUAGCCUUACAUUUAUAUUUUCUGAACAAAUCCUUUUUAUUUAACUUUCUCUGUAAAGUUUUCUCGAGAAAUUUGUCAAAAAAAUUAAAAAAGAACUCUUAUUAUAAAUUGAAAGAGACCAUCUCUUCUUAAUAUCCCAAAGCUUUCACUUUUUUUUUUUAUUCUUCUUUCACACCUUCUCAAGAAAUCCUCUGUUUUCUCUUCACCCUUUUGAAGCUUCUCUCUUAACUUUGAUCUCUAAAGAAACAAAAAAAAUGAAAGAGUACUGGACAUCACUAGCAUCACUCCUCGGCGUCUUCGCUUUCUGCCAAAGCCUAAUGCAAUCAAUAAUCCCACCAGAGCUCCGUUUCGCCUUCCUCAAACUCUUCAACCGAACCUUCCACCUCUUCUCCUCCUACUGCUACUUCGACAUAACGGAGCUCGACGGCGUCAACACCAACGAGCUCUACAACGCCGUCCAGCUCUACCUCAGCACCUCCGUCUCCAUCGCCGGCAACCCACGCAGGAACCGCUUAAGCCUCACCCGCGCCGUCAACUCCUCCUCCAUCACGUUCGGUCUCUCCAACAACGACUCCAUCGUCGACACUUUCAACAACGCCACCGUCCUCUGGGAGCACGUCGUCACUCAGAGACAAACUCAGACGUUCGCGUGGAGACCGUUACCUGAAGAGAAACGUGGGUUCACUCUCCGUAUCAAGAAGAGAGACAAAACAUUGAUCUUAAACUCUUAUCUUGAUUUCAUCGCGGAGAAAGCUAAGGAGAUCCGUCGGAAGAACCAGGACCGGUUGCUUUACACGAACACGCGAGGCGGGUCUCUGGACUCGAGAGGGCAUCCUUGGGAGUCUGUUCCUUUCAAGCAUCCGAGCACGUUCGAGACUCUUGCGAUGGAUCCGACAAAGAAGCAAGAGAUCAUGGAUGAUCUUAAGGAUUUUGUGUUAGGUCAAAUGUUUUAUCAGAAAACGGGUAGGGCUUGGAAGAGAGGUUACUUGCUGUAUGGGCCACCUGGUACUGGUAAGUCUAGUAUGAUCGCAGCCAUGGCGAAUUAUCUAGGCUAUGAUAUUUAUGAUCUUGAACUCACUGAGGUGCAUAGCAACUCGGAGUUGAGGAAGCUGCUGAUGAAAACGAGU
rnacentral:lncRNA from 1 species